UACGGGGGGUGCAAGCGUUGUUCGGAUUUACUGGGCGUAAAGGGCGCGUAGGCGGCACUGCAAGUCAGUUGUGAAAUCUCCGGGCUUAACCCGGAAAGGUCAACUGAUACUGCAGGGCUAGAGUGCAGAAGGGGCAACUGGAAUUCUCGGUGUAGCGGUGAAAUGCGUAGAUAUCGAGAGGAACACCUGCGGCGAAGGCGGGUUGCUGGGCUGACACUGACGCUGAGGCGCGAAAGCCAGGGGAGCAAACGGG
rnacentral:rRNA from 1 species